CCCAGUAAACGGCGGCCGUAACUAUAACGGUCCUAAGGUAGCGAAAUUCCUUGUCGGGUAAGUUCCGACCCGCACGAAAGGCGUAACGAUUUGGGCACUGUCUCAACGAGAGACUCGGUGAAAUCAUAGUACCUGUGAAGAUGCAGGUUACCCGCGACAGGACGGAAAGACCCCGUGGAGCUUUACUGUAGCCUGAUAUUGAAAUUCGGCACAGCUUGUACAGGAUAGGUAGGAGCCUUUGAAACGUGAGCGCUAGCUUACGUGGAGGCGCUGGUGGGAUACUACCCUAGCUGUGUUGGCUUUCUAACCCGCACCACUUAUCGUGGUGGGAGACAGUGUCAGGCGGGCAGUUUGACUGGGGCGGUCGCCUCCUAAAAGGUAACGGAGGCGCUCAAAGGUUCCCUCAGAAUGGUUGGAAAUCAUUCAUAGAGUGUAAAGGCAUAAGGGAGCUUGACUGCGAGACCUACAAGUCGAGCAGGGUCGAAAGACGGACUUAGUGAUCCGGUGGUUCCGCAUGGAAGGGCCAUCGCUCAACGGAUAAAAGCUACCCCGGGGAUAACAGGCUUAUCUCCCCCAAGAGUUCACAUCGACGGGGAGGUUUGGCACCUCGAUGUCGGCUCAUC
rnacentral:rRNA from 1 species